CUGCCUCUUACCCUGACUCAGCCCACAUUGCCAUCUUUGCCCAUGAUACUACACUUUCUGCCCCAAUCCCCAUUUCAUUCACGGAGUCUUCGAGAAGAGCUGUGGUUUGUAGCUUAGUUCUUGCAAUGAAAACCUGAAGGGUAUCUUGAAGGUCUUGGAUUCAGCAAAGACUAAGGGUAAGCAAGCUCAGUUUUCUGAUUUUGAUUCUUCAAGCCCACUGCCUAAAUCUUUGGAUUACUGGACCUACAAUUGCUCCCUGACUCAUCCUCCCCUCCAUGAGAAUGUAAUCUGGAUUAUCCUUGAAGAGCCUAUUCCUACCGGCUCAGAGCAGGUUCAGCAUGGGCAUGAGACCUGUGGUUUCGAUCAGUUGGAGACAUUUGCACAUGUGAAGAAGGGUGACAGAAGGUGGGCAGCUGGAUCUACUGGUUCAUCUCAAGCUCAUCUCCAACAUAAAUGACUACACCCUAUUUCUUUUUGUGCAACUCCUCUGGAAAAUUACUUUAAUAAAAUACAUGUGAAAAUAUUAAGUAGGAACAACUGUGAAAAUCAAAUGGAUCUACUUACGACAACCAAGAAAAUGAAUAAGCAAUUCAUAGUCUAUGAAACUGUAAGGCAACGGAAAUGUCCUUGAUUUGAUCAAGGAAAGGCAAACUCAUUUCAUAGUAUCUCUAGACUUUGACUACCAGUGAAGCAGAGCUGUCUUAUCUUUAGAACAAAGAAAGAGAACAAAAUUCAAACAGGAUUAUAUUUUAAGACAUAAAACUAUCACUCUGUUGACAACUACUGAUACCUGCUGUCAAUAUAAAAGAGGGAAAG